UGGAAGGCUCUGGAAAGUGCCACGAUACAGGGUGAUAGUCCCGUACAUGAAAAGACAUUUUAAGUGAAAUCGAGUAGGUCGGAGCACGUGAAACUUUGACUGAAUAUAGGUGGACCAUCAUCUAAGGCUAAAUACUCCCAACUGACCGAUAGUGAACCAGUACCGUGAGGGAAAGGCGAAAAGAACCCCUGUGAGGGGAGUGAAAUAGAACCUGAAACCGUGUACGUACAAGCAGUAGGAGCAGACUUGUUCUGUGACUGCGUACCUUUUGUAUAAUGGGUCAGCGACUUAUAUUUUGUAGCGAGGUUAACCGAUUAGGGUAGCCGUAGGGAAACCGAGUCUUAACUGGGCGAAUAGUUGCAAGGUAUAGACCCGAAACCCGGUGAUCUAGCCAUGGGCAGGUUGAAGGUUGAGUAACAUCAACUGGAGGACCGAACCCACUAACGUUGAAAAGUUAGGGGAUGACCUGUGGCUAGGAGUGAAAGGCUAAUCAAACCGGGAGAUAGCUGGUUCUCCCCGAAAUCUAUUUAGGUAGAGCCUCGGACGAAUACUUACGGGGGUAGAGCACUGUUAAGGCUAGGGGGUCAUCCCGACUUACCAACCCUUUGCAAACUCCGAAUACCGUAAAGUA
rnacentral:ncRNA from 1 species